rnacentral:lncRNA from 1 species
GUGACUUGGCCUUGUUAAGACCAGGAGAACCUGACUAUGACAAUUGACAUUUGGUGUUCCAGCCAUAUACCCUCGGUUCUUUCCAAGACAUCGCUGAAUCAAAAUCCAAAGCAGGUAUUCCCAAGGUGGAAUGACUGUGGCUCUGUGCCAUCUCGAAAUCUACUGGUCUCUAAGCACAAACGAACAUUCUCUUAAACUAAUGAAAUGAGUGGCAGGCAGCGUGUGCAGAGCACCAGCAAAGGCUCAGAGGGAUGCCCACAGAGUUCCACCGCAACCGUGCACAGAGGAGGAGGAGAAUGCUCCCUACAGGUGAAAACUAGGCUAAUACACAAUGAUUGAAGACUAAAGGAUGAGAAGAGCCACCAGUGGGGCGCAUUCACAGAGAAACGGUCACAUGAUGAGGCAGCAAGAAGGCAAAAAUUGCGAGCCAACAAGAGAGGCCUCAGAAGAAUCCAACCCUGGUGCCGCCUUCAUUUUAAACUUCCAACAACCCCAGAACUGUGGAAAAAAAUUCUAUUUUUUGUCUGUGGUAUUUUGUUAUGGCAACCCUAGCAAACUAAUACACUGAGCAAACUAAUACAUUAAACAGAAUAUUAAAACGAACAAAACAUACUGUUAUUUUUAGUAUGUGCUAUAGUCUGUAUCUAUUUAUUAUCAUUAAGCUUUUAAAAAUUCUAUGCACACAACAAUUUUGUAGUUAUAGUGUUUUGGGGAAUAAAAGGGAAAAGAUGUUUGAG